rnacentral:rRNA from 1 species
GUCUUUUAGUUUUAAAUUUAAAGUCUAAUCUGCCCACUGAAAAUUAAGUUUUAAAGGGCUGCAGAAUUUUAACUGUACAAAGGUAGCAUAAUAAAUUGUUUUUUAAUUGGAAACUAGAAUGAAGGAUUUAAUGAAAAUAAUUCUGUAUAUAUUUAAUAGGAUAAAAUUUAUUUUUUUUGUUAAAAAUCAAAAAUUGAUUAAAAAGACGAGAAGACCCUUUAGAUUUUAAUUAUUUAAUGGAAAAAAUUUGAUUAAAAUAUAUAUAAUUUUUAAUUUUUUAAAUAAUUUAAUUGGGGUGAUUAAUAAAUUUAAUUAACUUUAUUUUUAAAAAAUAUAUAAUUUUGAUUGAAGAAAUAUAAUUAAAUAAAAUGAUUUAGUUUUAUGGAUUAAAUGAUUAAAUUACCUAAGGGAUAACAGCGUUAUUUUAAUUUUUAGUUCUUAUAAAAAUUAAAGUUUGCGACCUCGAUGUUGGAUUAAGAUUAUUUAAAAUUGAAGAAAGUUUAUAUUUUAGUCUGUUCGACUAUUAAAAUCUUACGUGAUC